UUUCAUCGAUUGUUUCGUGGAAACUGAUUUUCUUAUUGCGCAAAUUCAAGUGGAGUAUCGGAGUUAUUCAAAUUUUGUAUUCAAUAACCUACGUUUUACAGCAAGUGCAGCCGUUGCAAGUAAGUUUUGCAUGCUAGGAUCUCUGUGUGUCCGUCCACGUUUGGCUGGUGCAGUCCACUGUUAACUAGAGCUGCAGCGAUUUAUUUGGUGAAGUGCAGCCGUUGCAUACUUACAAAAUCAUUUGUGUGUCCGACCACGUUCGCUGGUGAGGGUAUUUUCACCACUGCAGCCUUUGGUUUGUGGAGAAUUUGCAUACUUACAAGUCAGGGUCAUUUGUGUGUCUGUCCACCAAAUAUAAUUCAAUUUAAGAUAUUGAACAUGUAAUUUUUAAAUGCAGCAAAUAUAAUAAUUUUUAAAAGAUUAAUUUAUGUAUAUACAUUAGGCCCAUUCUUUUGCAACCGAGUUAUGACGAAAUACACG
rnacentral:lncRNA from 1 species